AGCAGCUGAGUGAUUUAAAAGC
rnacentral:miRNA from 12 species